UUAUGCUUUCGAGUUCCGCCUUGUUUCUCUCUUGCGAUUCCCUUCUCCUCUGUUCUUUGUCUCUCAGAUCUCAUCUCAGUAUAUCAUCCAUCACUCUCUCAAGUCUCACCAUCUCCAAUCUCCAGUCUCCGCCUCUUAGCUCUCAGUUCUCACACCCUCUCCAACUCUCCGCCGUGGUUCACUGGUUCCGCCUCUCCACCGGAAUGCGACUCCGACUUCGGUCCUCUCGGUUCUCGCCUUCGCUCAGGCUCUCAGACACUCAACCCAUUCUCGGAAACCCUAGAUCUGCUAAGCACAACGUAGAUCUGGGCAGAUCUUUGAGGCUUCGACUGGCGGUCCCCUACUCAAAGGGAAAAAACCAAACUUGGCCAUAAAUAUCUAAAAAAUCUAUGUCUCAUUAACAGCAACAUAUGGAAUUUGAGGAGGGGGAAUACAACUUCAACAGCUUUAACUGAACUGACAAGGAUUUUUCACUGCUUUUUUUUGUUUUUAAAAAAAAAAAUUGUUAUUUAUGCUUCAUGUCUCUAAUCAUUAUUUUAUUAGAUUAGUAAAUUGUUGUAAUGUUAAAAAAGUUUUUUGUUGUAAAUUAUUAAUUUAGAUCUUUUAGGUUUAUUUUAGAAUUU